CGAAAGCCUGACGGAGCAGCGCCGCGUGAGGGAUGAAGGCCUCUGGGCUGUAAACCUCUUUUAUCAAGGAAGAAGAUCUGACGGUACUUGAUGAAUAAGCCACGGCUAAUUCCGUGCCAGCAGCCGCGGUAAUACGGGAGUGGCAAGCGUUAUCCGGAAUUAUUGGGCGUAAAGCGUCCGCAGGCGGCCCUUCAAGUCUGCUGUUAAAGCGUGGAGCUUAACUCCAUCAUGGCAGUGGAAACUGAUCGGCUUGAGUAUGGUAGGGGCAGAGGGAAUUCCCGGUGUAGCGGUGAAAUGCGUAGAUAUCGGGAAGAACACCAGUGGCGAAGGCGCUCUGCUGGGCCCUUACUGACGCUCAUGGACGAAAGCCAGGGGAGCGAAA
rnacentral:rRNA from 1 species